CUACGGGAUGCAGCAGUGGGGAAUAUUGGACAAUGGGGGAAACCCUGAUCCAGCAAUGCCGCGUGUGUGAAGAAGGCCUGCGGGUUGUGAAGCACUUUCGGUUGGGAGGACUGCUUCUAGCACUAAUAUUGUUGGAAGUUGACGUUACCUUCAGAAGAAGCACCGGCUAACUCCGUGCCAGCAGCCGCGGUAAUACGGAGGGUGCAAGCGUUAAUCGGAAUUACUGGGCGUAAAGCGCGCGUAGGCGGCUAGAUCAGUCGGGUGUGAAAGCCCCGGGCUUAACCUGGGAACUGCAUCCGAUACUGUCUAGCUUGAGUACAGGAGAGGAGAGUGGAAUUCCACAUGUAGCGGUGAAAUGCGUAGAUAUGUGGAGGAACACCAAUGGCGAAGGCAGCUCUCUGGCCUGAUACUGACGCUGAGGUGCGAAAGCGUGGGGAUCAAACAGGAUUAGAUACCCCUGUAGUC
rnacentral:rRNA from 1 species